rnacentral:lncRNA from 1 species
ACCAUUUGAUUUUUAUGGGGGGGGGCUAGGAUGAAAUUUGAAAAAAAUAGGCAGGACAGGAAUUUUGAUUAAAAAAAAGGCAGAAUGAGACACUUGCAAAAAAAAAAAAAGUCAGGAUGACAAUUUAGGUAAAAAAAAAGUCAGGAUAAACUAAAAAAAAAAAUGCAGGACAGAAUAGAGUGAAAAAUAAAAAUGCAGGACAGAGAUUACAACUAAAAAAAAAUGCAGGACAAAAUUUUUCAUCCUAGCCCCCC